rnacentral:rRNA from 1 species
CAAGGCUUGACAUGAACCGGUAACGCCUGGAAACAGGUGCCCCGCUUGCGGUCGGUUUACAGGUGGUGCAUGGUUGUCGUCAGCUCGUGUCGUGAGAUGUUGGGUUAAGUCCCGCAACGAGCGCAACCCUCGUUCUAUGUUGCCAGCGGUUCGGCCGGGGACUCAUAGGAGACUGCCGGGGUCAACUCGGAGGAAGGUGGGGACGACGUCAAAUCAUCAUGCCCCUUAUGUCUUGGGCUUCACGCAUGCUACAAUGGCCGGUACAAAGGGUUGCGAUACUGUGAGGUGGAGCUAAUCCCAAAAAGCCGGUCUCAGUUCGGAUUGGGGUCUGCAACUCGACCCCAUGAAGUCGGAGUCGCUAGUAAUCGCAGAUCAGCAACGCUGCGGUGAAUACGUUCCC